ACCUACAUUUUAGUUAGUGCUAUUGUGCCCAGAAUGCAUUCAUUUGAGUUUGUUUGUCUAGGAAAAGCUACUUCAGGCCAAGGAGGCCCUAAAAGAAUACCAGCGGGCUGUCCGUGGAGCUAUGGAUUUAAUUCAGCAAGUUGAGUUCAGACUCCUUAUACCUUCUUCUAGCUUUAAAGACUGUACAGAGGAACUGCGCCAUAGUCAACAAACGCUUGCUAGUCUAUCUGAAGGAUUCCAAGCUCACAUGGCUGAAAUCCAGUCCCGAUUGCCUCAACGAUCGUGCUUUUCUGUUAUUCACACUGAGAAACUCCACAUUCAGGUGCUCAGUCAGCUUCUUGUGAGUGAUGCCAUACUGGAAACCCAAGCUCAACUCAAACUGAAGACCCUUCAGAGGUGCUUAAUGGAGCAGUCCAUUCACACUAAACACCAUGAUGAAAUGAACCAGCUUCUAAGAAAUUUUGACUGCAAACUCUCAGAAAGCUUCAGUCACAAACCAACAUGUUUAGAAAAGUGCAAAGAUCAAAUCCAAGAAAUUAAGGUGUGCUGCACAUUUGAACUGUUCUCUUUUAUGACACUGAAAGUGAAGAUUCUUUAGCUGAGAUUCAUUAUUGCCAUACCUGUUUUCAUGUGACAUGCAAAACUACUACAAGAUAUAAAGACUAUACACUGUAUAUAUAGAUGCUUCAAGAGGAGUUGGAAAGCAUGGAUCGAAGACUGGAAGAGCUGAGAGAGAGUUGCCAGGUCCAAGCUUGUAAUGUGGCUUCUGAUCGGACGUUGGGGAAUCUGUGGAGACACUGGGCCAUGCUGCAGCGUCGACUGGAUGCCUUCAAAUCUAGACUGGUGCAUACAGAGACCGAAUGGAAGGAAAUUAUGUUAAGGAUCAACAAAUCCAGAGAAGUUCUUAACCGACUCGAUGGUAGCCUCACUGAUUUUUCCAAAAUGAAAAGAUCUCUGGAGAACCUUCAAGGCAUCCUGGCCCAAACUGAGCAACUUCAGGAUGCGCUAGAUCAAGAACACCUCAACGUAGUCUCUCUGCAGCGCUGUGGAUCAAACCUGCAGGAUCUUGGCACACUCACUGAGCUGAGUCAGGAAUUGCAGUCCCUUCAAAGUUACUGUCGACGGUACGGAAAUGCGCAAGUGUGCACCCUUUGCAAAAGCAGUUUAUUCCUUAAACGCUUAU
ensembl:lncRNA